CGGCAACAGCUCAAAUUUGAAAUCUGGCCUCUCCGGGGUCCGAAUUGUAAUUUGGAGAGGAUGCUUUUGGGUGUCCGCCGGCCUAAGUCCCUUGGAACAGGGCGUCAUAGAGGGUGAGAAUCCCGUAUGUGGCCGGAAAGGUACCCUUUGUAAAGCUCCUUCGAC
rnacentral:rRNA from 1 species